rnacentral:ncRNA from 15 species
UUUAAUGUCUUAGUAGUUGGGCAUGCGGUCUUAAUAAUUUUCUGUGCGCCGUUUCGCUUAAUUUAUCACUGUAUUGAAGUGUUAAUUGAUAAACACAUCUCUGUUUAUUCAAUCAAUGAAAACUUUACCGUAUCAUUUUGGUUCUGAUUCUUAGUAGUAACAUACAUAGAAUUUAGAUACGUAAACCAUAUGGCUUACUCAGUUGGGGCCAACUCAACGGGGACAAUAGCAUGCCAUAAAAGCGCUGGAGUAAAACAGCCAGUGCAAGGUAAGAACUGUCCGAUGGCUAGGUUAACGAACUCCUUACAAGAAUGUUUAGGGUUCUCAUUAACUCCUUCCCACUCGGGGAUUGUGAUUCAUGCUUGUGUAUUGGAAGAAGAGGUACACGAGUUAACCAAAAAUGAAUCAUUAACUUUAAGUAAAAGUUGACAUUCGGAGGGCUGUACGAGUUCAAAUGGUAAAUUAAGAAAUACGGGAUUGUCCGAAAGGGGAAACCCUGGGGAUAACGGAGUCUUCAUAGUACCCAAAUUUAAUUUAAAUAAAGUGAGAUAUUUUAGUACUUUAUCUAGAUUAAAUACAAGGAAGGAAGACAGUUUAACGUAUUUAACAAAGAUAAAUACUACGGAUUUUUCUGAGUUAAAUAAAUUAAUAGAAAAUAAUUAUGAUAAUCCAAAAACCAUUAAUAUUAGAAUUUUAAAAUUAAUGUCAGAUAUUAGAAUGUUAUUAAUUGCUUAUAAUAAAAUUAAAAGUAAUAAAGGUAAUAUAUCUAAAGGUUCUAAUAAUAUUACCUUAGAUGGAAUUAAUAUUUCAUAUUUAAAUAAAUUAUGUAAACAUAUUAAUACUAAUAUGUUUAAAUUUUCUCCUGUUAGAAGAGUUGAAAUUCCUAAAACAUCUGGAGGAUUUAGACCUUUAAGUGUUGGUAAUCCUAGAGAAAAAAUUGUACAAGAAAGUAUGAGAAUAAUUUUAGAAAUUAUUUAUAACAAUAGUUUUUCUAAUUAUUCUCAUGGUUUUAGACCAAACUUAUCUUGUUUAACAGCUAUUGUUCACUGUAAAAAUUAUAUGAAACACUGUAAUUGAUUUAUUAAAGUAGAUUUAAAUAAAUGUUUUGAUACAAUUCCACAUAAUAUGUUAAUUAAUGUAUUAAAUGAAAGAAUCAAAGAUAAAGGUUUCAUUGAUUUAUUAUAUAAAUUAUUAAGAGCUGGAUAUGUUGAUAAACAUAAUAAUUAUCAUCAUACAACUUUAGGAAUUCCUCAAGGUAGUGUUGUCAGUCCUAUUUUAUGUAAUAUUUUCUUAGAUAAAUUAGAUAAAUAUUUAGAAAAUAAGUUUGAGAAUGAAUUCAAUACUGGAUCUAUGUCUAAUAGAAGUAGAAAUCCAAUUUAUAAUGAUUUAUCAUCUAAAAUUAGAAGAUGUAAAUUAUUAUCUAAUAAAUUAAAAUUGAUUAGAUUAAGAGACCAUUACCAAAGAAAUUUGGGAUCUGAUAAAAACUUUAAAAGAGCUUGUUUUGUUAGAUAUGCUGAUGAUAUUAUCAUUGGUGUAAUGGGUUCUCAUGAUGAUUGUAAAAAUAUUUUAAACGAUAUAAAUAAUUUCUUAAAAGAAAAUUUAGGUAUGUCUAUUAAUAUAGAUAAAUCCAUUAUUAAACAUUCUAAAGAAGGAGUUAGUUUUUUAGGGUAUGAUGUAAAAGUUACACCUUGAGAAAUAAGACCUUAUAGAAUGAUUAAAAGAGGUGAUAAAUUUAUUAGGGUUAGACAUCAUACUAGUUUAGUUGUUAAUGCCCCUAUUAGAAGUAUUGUAAUAAAAUUAAAUAAAAAUGGUUAUUGUUCUCAAGGAAUUGUAGGAAAACCCAGAGGGGUUGGAAGAUUAAUUCAUGAAGAAAUGAAAACCAUUUUAAUGCAUUACUUAGCUGUUGGUAGAGGUAUUAUAAACUAUUAUAGAUUAGCUACCAAUUUUACCACAUUAAGAGGUAGAAUUACAUACAUUUUAUUUUAUUCAUGUUGUUUAACAUUAGCAAGAAAAUUUAAAUUAAAUACUGUUAAGAAAGUUAUUUUAAAAUUCGGUAAAGUAUUAAUUGAUCCUAAUUCAAAAGUAAGUUUUGGUAUUGAUGAUUUUAAAAUUAGACAUAAAAUAAAUAUAACUGAUUCUAAUUAUACUCCUGAUGAAAUUUUAGAUAGAUAUAAAUAUAUGUUACCUAGAUCUUUAUCAUUAUUUAGUGGUAUUUGUCAAGUUUGUGGUUCUAAACAAAAUUUAGAAGUACAUCAUGUAAAAAUAUUAAAUAAUGCUGCCAAUAAAAUCAAAAAUGAUUAUUUAUUAGGUAGAAUGAUUAAGAUAAAUAGAAAACAAAUUACUAUCUGUAAAACAUGUCAUUUUAAAAUUCAUCAAGGUAAAUAUAAUGGUCCAGGUUUAUAAUAAUUAUUUUAAACUAUUAAACAUGCGCUAAACGGAGAGCCGUAUGAUAUGAAAGUAUCACGUACGGUUCGGAGAGGGCUCUCUUAUAUGAUUGUUAUUACAAUCAGAUAGGUUUGCUACUCUACUCUUAGUAAUGCCGGCAUUAAUUGGUGGUUUUGGUAACUAUAUGUUACCUUUAUUAAUUGGAGCAUCAGAUAUGUCUUUUGCAAAGAUAAAUA